CCUACGGGUGGCUGCAGUGGGGAAUAUUGGACAAUGGGCGAAAGCCUGAUCCAGCCAUGCCGCGUGUGUGAAGAAGGCCUUCGGGUUGUAAAGCACUUUCAGUGGGGAAGAAAGCCUUGGGGCUAAUACCCUCGAGGAAGGACAUCACCCACAGAAGAAGCACCGGCUAACUCCGUGCCAGCAGCCGCGGUAAUACGGAGGGUGCGAGCGUUAAUCGGAAUUACUGGGCGUAAAGCGCGCGUAGGCGGUCUGAUAAGCCGGUUGUGAAAGCCCCGGGCUCAACCUGGGAACGGCAUCCGGAACUGGCAGGCUAGAGUGCAGGAGAGGAAGGUAGAAUUCCCGGUGUAGCGGUGAAAUGCGUAGAGAUCGGGAGGAAUACCAGUGGCGAAGGCGGCCUUCUGGACUGACACUGACGCUGAGGUGCGAAAGCGUGGGUAGCAAACAGGAUUAGAUACCCCUGUAGUC
rnacentral:rRNA from 1 species